rnacentral:snRNA from 1 species
GAUUGUGAGCAUCAUCUGAGUUUGAUAUCUGUCACCUCAGUGGUCUCCAGGCUGUGAUCUGGCAGGAUAAACAGAUGUCUGCUUUCUUCCCUCACUCCUCCUUGUUAUUCCCCCAGAAGCUUCUAUUUGAAUGGCAGAGGAAAUCUUCAUUGGGGAAAAUUAUUUUUAUUUGAAUGGGUACCCACGU